UACGUAGGGUGCGAGCGUUAAUCGGAAUUACUGGGCGUAAAGCGUGCGUAGGCGGUUGGCAAAGUCAGCUGUGAAAGCCCCGGGCUUAACCUGGGAAUGGCGGUUGAAACUAGUCGACUAGAAUCUGGCAGAGGGGGGUGGGAAUUCCACGGUGUAGCAGUGGAAAUGCGUAGAGAUGUGGAGGAACACCGAUGGCGAAGGACAGCCCCCUGGGCU
rnacentral:rRNA from 1 species